GACGAACGCUGGCGGCGUGCUUAACACAUGCAAGUCGAACGAAGAGCGAUGGAAGCUUGCUUCUAUCAAUCUUAGUGGCGAACGGGUGAGUAACGCGUAAUCAACCUGCCCUUCAGAGGGGGACAACAGUUGGAAACGACUGCUAAUACCGCAUACGAUCCAAUCUCGGCAUCGGGACUGGAUGAAAGGUGGCCUCUAUUUAUAAGCUAUCACUGAAGGAGGGGAUUGCGUCUGAUUAGCUAGUUGGAGGGGUAACGGCCCACCAAGGCGAUGAUCAGUAGCCGGGCUGAGAGGAUGAACGGCCACAUUGGGACUGAGACACGGCCCAGACUCCUACGGGAGGCAGCAGUGGGGAAUCUUCCGCAAUGGACGAAAGUCUGACGGAGCAACGCCGCGUGAGUGAUGACGGCCUUCGGGUUGUAAAGCUCUGUUAAUCGGGACGAAUGGUUCUUGUGCGAAUAGUGCGAGGAUUUGACGGUACCGGAAUAGAAAGCCACGGCUAACUACGUG
rnacentral:rRNA from 1 species